GGCCUUGACAUGCAGAGAACUUUCCAGAGAUGGAUUGGUGCCUUCGGGAACUCUGACACAGGUGCUGCAUGGCUGUCGUCAGCUCGUGUCGUGAGAUGUUGGGUUAAGUCCGUAACGAGCGCAACCCUUGUCCUUAGUUACCAGCACGUUAUGGUGGGCACUCUAAGGAGACUGCCGGUGACAAACCGGAGGAAGGUGGGGGAUGACGUCAAGUCAUCAUGGCCCUUACGGCCUGGGCUACACACGUGCUACAAUGGUCGGUACAAAGGGUUGCCAAGCCGCGAGGUGGAGCUAAUCCCAUAAAACCGAAUCGUAGUCCGGAUCGCAGUCUGCAACUCGACUGCGUGAAGUCGGAAUCGCUAGUAAUCGUGAAUCAGAAUGUCACGGUGAAUACGUUCCCGGGCCUU
rnacentral:rRNA from 1 species